rnacentral:rRNA from 1 species
CGCCUCUUGACAUUAUAAGAGGUCAUGCCUGCCCAGUGACAAAAUUCAACGGCCGCGGAACCCUAACCGUGCAAAGGUAGCAUAAUCACUUGUUCCUUAAAUAGGGACUCGUAUCAAAGGCACCACGAGGGUUAUACUGUCUCCCUCCUCCAAUCAGUGAAACUGAUCUCCCCAUGAAAAAGCGGGGAUGAUAAUAUAAGACGAGAAGACCCCAUGGAGCUUUAAACCCAAUAGCAAUUUAGCAAAAACUCCUCUAAGCUUCAAAACCAUGCUAGCGGCUUUAGGUUGGGGUGACCACGGAGUAAAAAUUAACCUCCGCAUCGAAAAGAACAAAUCCUUUACCCAAGAGCUACCACUCUAAGAAUUAGAAAACUAACGAACUGAUCCGAUAUCGAUUAAUGAACCAAGUUACCCUGGGGAUAACAGCGCAAUCUACUUCAAGAGUUCAUAUCGACAAGUAGGCUUACGACCUCGAUGUUGGAUCAGGGUAUCCUAGUGGUGCAGUCGCUACUACAGGUUCGUUUGUUCAACGAUUAAAACCCU